UAACUGAAGAGUUUGAUCAUGGCUCAGAUUGAACGCUGGCGGCAGGCUUAACACAUGCAAGUCGAGCGGAGAUGAGGUGCUUGCACCUUAUCUUAGCGGCGGACGGGUGAGUAAUACUUAGGAAUCUGGCUAUUAGUGGGGGACAACAUUUCGAAAGGGAUGCUAAUACCGCAUACGUCCUACGGGAGAAAGCAGGGGAUC
rnacentral:rRNA from 1 species